rnacentral:rRNA from 1 species
AUGCACACAGAAAAAUGUGGCAAAACGAUGUACUGGCCCUCACACAGACAUAUUGAUGUAUACACAAGGGAUGUUGUUAAACAACUCCGUGAGAAAAAUAUUAGCAUUGGCAAGGUCUACAAUAUAAUUGGUAGUUUCUUCGGUUCAAUGACAAAUGUACCUAUCAGCAAAAGGGCACUGAGAGGACUCUGUAGUAAGAUCAGUCGAGAGCAAGCAGACGAAGAUUUAAAGAAAACCAUGGAUGUUUUUGCCGAAUUGGGAGCAAAAGACUCUGGUCUCUGCUACCGAGUGCAGCCUGAUGAGGAGAGCCGUAUAUGGAAUUUGAUAUGGUUAACUGAAGCAAGGAGGGCACAGUACGAUUAUUUUGGAGAUGCAAUAACAUUUGACCCAACAUACCGCACAAACCUAUAUGAUAUGCCAUUUGGGCUGUUUGUAGGCGUCAAUAAUCACUUCCAGAGUGUGAUCUUUGGCGGCGUGCUAGUCGGAGAUGAAACAGUUGACACUUUCAAGUGGGUAUUCAGUGAAUUCAUUCGCAUGAUGGGGGGAAAACCUCUGCAAACAAUACUCACAGAUCAAUGCAGAGCGAUGGAGUUAGCAAUUGAGAAAGUGCUGCCAGACACCACUCACCACUGGUGCAAAUGGCACGUCCUGAAAAAGGCAAAAGAAUAUCUUGGUCCACAUUACACAAAGCACAUCAAAUUCAGGGCAGAAUUCCACAAAAUAAUCCAUCACAUGCUUACGGUUGAUGAGUUCGAGACUGCAUGGAAGCAAGUGACAGAGGCGCACGGUUUGCAAAAACAUGCUUACCUCAUUGGCAUCUAUGAAACUAGAAUGAAAUGGGCAAAACCAUAUUUCAAUGGAAAGUUCUGUGCAAAGAUGACAAGCACACAACGCAGCGAGAGUGCCAAUCAUAUGCUCAAAUGCUAUGUUCCAGCAAGCUGCCCCAUGCAUCUAUUUGUUCGACAAUGCAUGAGACUUCUUUUCGAUAGAGGGGCAAACGAGAACUAUGAGGAGAGACGCACAAAGAUAGUAAGUUGCUGA